GGGUUGUGAGGUUAAGCGACUAAGCGUACACGGUGGAUGCCCUGGCAGUCAGAGGCGAUGAAGGGCGUGCUAAUCUGCGAUAAGCGCCGGUAAGGUGAUAUGAACCGUUAUAACCGGCGAUACCCGAAUGGGGAAACCCAGUGUGACUCGUCACACUAUCAUUAACUGAAUCCAUAGGUUAAUGAGGCGAACCGGGGGAACUGAAACAUCUAAGUACCCCGAGGAAAAGAAAUCAACCGAGAUUCCCCCAGUAGCGGCGAGCGAACGGGGAGGAGCCCAGAGCCUGAAUCAGCAUGUGUGUUAGUGGAAGCGUCUGGAAAGGCGCGCGAUACAGGGUGACAGCCCCGUACACAAAAGCGCAUGUGCUGUGAGCUCGAUGAGUAGGGCGGGACACGUGGUAUCCUGUCUGAAUAUGGGGGGACCAUCCUCCAAGGCUAAAUACUCCUGACUGACCGAUAGUGAACCAGUACCGUGAGGGAAAGGCGAAAAGAACCCCGGCGAGGGGAGUGAAAAAGAACCUGAAACCGUGUACGUACAAGCAGUGGGAGCACCCUUUG
rnacentral:rRNA from 3 species